rnacentral:rRNA from 1 species
AUACGUAGGGGGCGAGCGUUGUCCGGAAUGAUUGGGCGUAAAGGGCGCGUAGGCGGCCUGUUAAGUCUGGAGUGAAAGUCCUGUUUUCGAGAUGGGAAUUGCUUUGGAUACUGAUGGGCUUGAGUGCAGGAGAGGUUAUCGGAAUUCCCGGUGUAGCGGUGAAAUGCGUAGAGAUCGGGAGGAACACCAGUGGCGAAGGCGGGUAACUGGACUGCAACUGACGCUGAGGCGCGAAAGUGUGGGGAGCAAACAGGAUUAGAUACCCUGGUAGUCCACGCCGUAAACGAUGAGUACUAAGUGUCGGGAUAACCCGGUGCUGCAGUUAACGCAUUAAGUACUCCGCCUGAGUAGUACGUGCGCAAGCAUAAAACUCAAAUGAAUUGGCGGGG